rnacentral:lncRNA from 1 species
ACAAACAUUUUUCUACCCAGAACUACGUAAGCCUUGAUUUCUCUGUUGAGAUACGUAGGAGCAGGAUUUGUAAAUCUUGUCAGGCCCACUAAUAAAAAAACUUAGGUUUAGUCCUUCGUCAAAAAUCCAAAAAAAACAUUCUCCUCUCUUCUAUUCUUUCUUUCCCACCUAAUAACUUGAAGCCUAACAUUUCAAACUAACACUAAGGCGCACAACUAACCUAAU